rnacentral:rRNA from 1 species
GACAGAGGGUGCAAACGUUGUUCGGAAUUACUGGGCGUAAAGCGCGUGUAGGCGGCUUGGCAAGUCGGGUGUGAAAGCCCCGGGCUCAACCUGGGAAGUGCACUCGAAACUGCUUCGCUUGAGUACUGGAGAGGGUAGUGGAAUUCUCGGUGUAGAGGUGAAAUUCGUAGAUAUCUGGAGGAACACCGGUGGCGAAGGCGGCAUCCUGGACCGGCAUUGACGCUGAGGCGCGAAAGCCAGGGGAGCAAACGGG